rnacentral:rRNA from 1 species
AUGCUCCAGGAAGGGAGCGCCCCAGACUUCAUCGACAAGGUUGUCACGCUCUUCUGCGAGGAUGGCGAGCGUAUCAUCGGCGAGAUCGCCAAGCUGCUGGACAAGCCAUGUCUGGACUAUCACAAGGUGAGCCAUUUUGUGCUUGAACUCAAGGGAAGCAGUGCAUGUAUUGGUGCUCAGAGAGUGAAGAACAGUUGCAUUCAGUUCCAUCAGUGUUGUCAGGAGAAGAGCAGAGAUGGGUGCCUGAACUCACUGGAUUCUGUGAGGAACGAUUUCUAUGAUGUGUGCAGCAUGUUCAGGCCACAUGCUUCAGCGAUACCUUCUCCGGAAGAGGUGCGGCGGAUAUGU